rnacentral:misc_RNA from 1 species
GAUGAAGAACGCAGCGAAAUGCGAUAAGUAAUGUGAAUUGCAGAAUUCAGUGAAUCAUCGAAUCUUUGAACGCACAUUGCGCCCGCCAGUAUUCUGGCGGGCAUGCCUGUUCGAGCGUCAUUACAACCCUCAGGCCCCCGGGCCUGGCGUUGGGGAUCGGCGGAGCCCCCCGUGGGCACACGCCGUCCCCCAAAUGCAGUGGCGGUCCCGCCGCAGCUUCCAUCGCGUAGUAGCUAACACCUCGCGACUGGAGAGCGGCGCGGCCACGCCGUAAAACACCCAACUCUUCUGAAGUUGACCUCGAAUCAGCUAGGAAUACCCGCUGAACUUAAGCAUAUCAAUAAGCGGAGGA